rnacentral:rRNA from 1 species
GUGCCAGCAGCCGCGGUAAUACGUAGGGGGCAAGCGUUGUCCGGAUUUAUUGGGCGUAAAGCGCGUGUAGGCGGCCAGGUAGGUCCGACGUGAAAACUGGAGGCUCAACUUCCAGCUGUCGUUGGAAACCAUCUGGCUAGAGUCCGGAAGAGGAGAGUGGAAUUCCUGGUGUAGCGGUGAAAUGCGCAGAUAUCAGGAAGAACACCAAUGGCGAAGGCAGCUCUCUGGGACGGUACUGACGCUGAGACGCGAAAGCGUGGGGAGCGAACAGGAUUAGAAACCCCUGUAGUCC